rnacentral:rRNA from 1 species
GAUGAACGCUGGCAGCGUGCCUAAUACAUGCAAGUCGAGCGAACGGACGAGAAGCUUGCUUCUCUGAUGUUAGCGGCGGACGGGUGAGUAACACGUGGAUAACCUACCUAUAAGACUGGGAUAACUUCGGGAAACCGUAGCUAAUACCGGAUAAUAUUUUGAACCGCAUGGUUCAAAAGUGAAAGACGGUCUUGCUGUCACUUAUAGAUGGAUCCGCGCUGCAUUAGCUAGUUGGUAAGGUAACGGCUUACCAAGGCAACGAUGCAUAGCCGACCUGAGAGGGUGAUCGGCCACACUGAAACUGAGACACGGUCCAGACUCCUACGGGAGGCAGCAGUAGGGAAUCUUCCGCAAUGGGCGAAAGCCUGACGGAGCAACGCCGCGUGAGUGAUGAAGGUCUUCGGAUCGUAAAACUCUGUUAUUAGGGAAGAACAUAUGUGUAAGUAACUGUGCACAUCUUGACGGUACCUAAUCAGAAAGCCACGGCUAACUACGUG